UAUAAUGUUUAUAGCAAGGGUAACUUUGGUAAACUGUUAGUUGAUGUUUGUUUGCUUGUUUGUUUCACUAGUUAUCCCUCAUUAAAAAGGGGGUUCUUGCUAAGAAUAUCACCAUCUUCUACAAAAUGUCAGGAAUACACCGUGUUCAUUGCGAAACAGUAGUUACGAUACUAAAAAUACUGCAUCCUCACAAAAGAGCAGUAUUUUUUGAUAGUAGCUUUCACAUAGUGUGUCUGUUUUUAUGUUGGUAUGAUGUAUAGUGGAAGAUCAGAAAACGUCGGCAGGAGGUGGGAGAGAAGGCAAUGCAGAGAUGAAGGACAUCAUACCACAAUAAUAGUUGUGUGUAUAAGCCUGAUCAACAAGUGAAAAGAGUCAGAUAAGAGGAAAGAGUUUGAAAACUGAUUUGACGACCACUGCUGAAUUGGCCUGCUCAGAGGAAGAGGCACUAAUGAUUCCAGAAGAGGAAGCCAAAGAAGAAGACCUACACAGACUUUGAAAUGGAUCUCUCAAUUGCCAUGAUGACCAAGAUAUUCAACGGGAAAAUGUGGAAAGCUGCCAUAUUCCCAGUCAUUACUUUGCCAAAUCAUCUGUGCAGCACCACCGAGGGAUCCUACUUUCCUGAGUACGAAGCCGGCCAUCAAGGCCUUCCCCGACUGGCAACAGACUGGAGCAGAGGCUGUAGCAGGGACAGCAUUUUUUUUUUAUACUGAAAUAAUUUACAUUAUGAUAGAAAGUGGACAAUAUAGUGUGACAAUUAGUUUUUGUUCUCCAACAUGUACACACUGCUGUUGUGAAGCAGUGAUAUACAGCUCACGAGUGUGUAGUCAAAAGAGAGAAAUACUGUAUAUUUCAGCGACUCCUACAGAUUAAGAAAAAUAAUGAAUUUUUUUAAUAAAUAAAUGUUAUUCUUGGCUCAAUUGUUAAGUGUUUGGGUUCAAAUAACAUUACCAUGAUCCCAUAGGCAUCCAAAAAUUGAGAAAGUGACGUUUUUUAAAACUGAAACAAGGUGUUUGACAUCCUGUUGUGUGUGCAAGCCCUUUUUAUUACCACGGGUUUACAGACAGUCUCUAAUAAUUGGGUAUCACCUGGAACACAGCCAAUAAUCGAGAGACACACCCACCAAACGAGAGAAAACAUAACUCAA